ensembl:lncRNA
GAGCUGGGCCGGCCGCCGCCUGGCCGCCGCCGUAUGCCUGCUGUGCGCCCUCACGCCCGCGGUCGCGCUGGCCUGGCUGAUCCGCAAGAGGAGCCUCUAGGCGAGACGGGCGCUGGCCGGAGCGGGGAGCAGGCGGGACGCGCAACAGGCUGGAGAAAACCCUGUGCCCUUGGAGAAAAUUGUUUCCCCUCUUCCUACAGGGAAUCCAGAGCCUGAGCAGCAGCUGUGAAGAGUGGAGAUAAAGAAAGAAGUGGAAGAUGUUGGAAGAGCUUUGGGCAACGUGAAGAAGGAUUUGCACUGAAGGAGCUGUUCAAGGGCCCAGCCGCAAAACAGAGACACAUACAUGCUUAUAUAUAGAAGAAUGUAAACCCUCCUGUAUGCAUACGUUAAAACGUGCAUGCCUUGUUGAGAACGUAAGCAACAUUCCUUGUAGAUGAUGGUGGUAUGAGCAUUUGUGCUCCUGCAGUCUGAGUCAAGAGAUUAGUGAUGUCCCUGCUGUGAUGCUAGCGUUGUCUCCCCUGCACCUUGUCUAUGGUGGCAUAAGUGUCCCUUUCGAUGCAGCAAGCAAGAGAAAGUAGAUACACAUCUGGAGGUAAAUAAUAUCUGCUGCAACGUGGGCAUGUUGUAACCGUGGCGGUGGGGGAAGAGGUGCUGAGCAGCUCGGACAGCAGACAGUUUGUGUGUGUAUAUAUUAAGCUCUAUAGCACCAGGUGAGAUAAGCUUUUCUUACGGUUUUUGUUUCUCUGGUGCUACAUUUACUAUUUGUCUGGGGCUUGAUUGCCUCUCUGUGGUGCUACAGUUUCCCCAAGAGGAUGUUCUGAAACAUGGGACAAGGAGAAAUCUAUUUUGGUUAUUGAUAUUUAUACACAAAAGAGCAAAAAAUACUACUUGUUGAGAAGGUGCUAUUUUUUUUUUCUUUCUUUCAGCCUCUGCGUAAACGAAGGCAAAACAAACCAUCCCGCUCAGAGCUGUACAGAACUGAUUUUCUUUGGGGCAGCUCUUUCUCUUGGCGCGGUUCUGAGCUUGGGAAGCAGCGUUCACGGAGGUGGUGAGGACACAGCAGCUCCUGUCACAGCUGUGUCCACAUCAAAGUCUGCUACUGCAGAACCUCCCGGAUGGGGGUGUAGGCAGUCCUCAACUCCUGUGAUCCAGGGAAAAGAGUUACAUCUGGGCUCAGCAGGAGACUCGUUGGCAGUGAUCCUUACGCACAUUUUUUAGAAACAUUUUUCCCAGCUUUGGAUAUUUGCAGCACAAAAUUGACCUUCACGUGGCAGGGGGGACUUCCAAAGGCAUACAGGGAUGUUAUAGGAGUUCAGUUUCUAAAGUAGGUUCCUUGUCUUUUAAAGACACUUCCUAACCUGCAACCAAUCAAGGAGCAAACUGCUCCAUCCCUGUCAGACUUUCGGUUUGUCGCUACUGCAGGAGAAAUGUUUCUAAGCAAUCUAAAAGCUAAAUUGUCUCUUUAUCAAAUAUUCACCAAUGUGUUUUGGGCACCUGCACACAUAUUCAUGGGGAAUAUUGAUCCGAGUCAGUUCCCAAACAGCAGAAGGGCUACGCUGAAAGCGCAAAUUGUUCCUAAUGAGUAACCUUGCCCUACUUUAUAUCAUGUGCAGUGGUGGGAGGGAUCAUGUAGCUAAGUGUAUUUUGUCUGUGGGUAGAGUGUGGAUGGCCUCAGAGCCGCAGGGAUUAGCCACCCAUCAAACACUGUUCUGCCACUUGUGGCCUGAUGCAUCCCACGUCCCUGCCCGGCUCAGUCUCCUACUGAUCUAAGUAAGAAUUCUUCUAGCAAAAGGAGGAGCCCCAGCUGAUUUCAGCAGUGCUGCAAGGAUUAGUGACUGCCGGAUCAGGUACAGCCUAAAAAACACAGUUUUCUGCAAAAAAGCCAGGGGAGCUGGCUUACACAUCUCAGUGCAAGACAGAGGGCUCUCCCACAUUCCCCUCACCCUAAACAGUUAUUACUAGCUCCUGAGAUCUGAAUGUUUAUAAUAAACUUCU